GGCUUCCUGUAGAAAGUGGGACUCUGACUGGGACAUGAAGGAAGCAAGGGAGCCCAGAAGCAGAAAUGAGGAAGGAGGGAGUUCUAGGCAAGGAAGAAAGAGAAUAGGAGCUGCUGGCACAUAGGGGAUCACAGCUUCCCUUGAACAGAGGGAGAGGACAGAUGGAUGGACCAUUGGACUACUGCAGUAAUUCAGGAGUGAAGUGAUGAAGCUCUUUACCAGGAUGGUGACAGUGGUAGAGGAGAGGAGAUACACCAAAAAGAGGUUGCUGAGAAAUCAUCCAGGCUGGGGUCUGUGAAGAAAAUAUGGACAAGAGUGAGAUAAGAGCAGAGGCUUCUAUACUCCCCUCCCCAAGGUGGUCCCAUUAGCAUCCCUGCACAUCCCAGGCCCUACCAGAUGCUCCUCAAGACCUCCUCACCAUAA